rnacentral:rRNA from 1 species
GGCUGUCGUCAGCUCGUGUCGUGAGAUGUUGGGUUAAGUCCCGCAACGAGCGCAACCCUCGUCCUUAGUUGCCAUCAUUUAGUUGGGCACUUUAAGGAAACUGCCGGUGAUAAGCCGGAGGAAGGUGGGGAUGACGUCAAGUCCUCAUGGCCCUUACAGGCUGGGCUACACACGUGCUACAAUGGCAUCUACAGUGAGCAGCGAUCCCGCGAGGGUUAGCUAAUCUCCAAAAGAUGUCUCAGUUCGGAUUGUUCUCUGCAACUCGAGAGCAUGAAGGCGGAAUCGCUAGUAAUCGCGGAUCAGCAUGCCGCGGUGAAUACGUUCCCAGGCCUUGUACACACCGCCCGUCACACCAUGGGAGUUGGAUUCACCCGAAGGUGGUGCGCUAACCUGCUGCAGGAGGCAGCCA